GAUGAACGCUGGCGGCGUGCCUAAUACAUGCAAGUCGAGCGAAUGGAUUAAGAGCUUGCUCUUAUGAAGUUAGCGGCGGACGGGUGAGUAACACGUGGGUAACCUGCCCAUAAGACUGGAUAACUCCGGGAAACCGGGGCUAAUACCGGAUAACAUUUCGAACCGCAUGGUUCGAAAUUGAAGGUCGGCUUCGGCUGUCACUCAUGGAUGGACCCGCGUCGCAUUAGCUAGUUGGUGAGGUAACGGCUCACCAAGGCAACGAUGCGUAGCCGACCUGAGAGGGUGAUCGGCCACACUGGGACUGAGACACGGCCCAGACUCCUACGGGAGGCAGCAGUAGGGAAUCUUCCGCAAUGGACGAAAGUCUGACGGAGCAACGCCGCGUGAGUGAUGAAGGCUUUCGGGUCGUAAAACUCUGUUGUUAGGGAAGAACAAGUGCUAGUUGAAUAAGCUGGCACCUUGACGGUACCUAACCAGAAAGCCACGGCUAACUACGUGCCAGCAGCCGCAGUAA
rnacentral:rRNA from 1 species